GACAGAGGGUGCAAACGUUGUUCGGAAUUACUGGGCGUAAAGCGAGUGUAGGCGGUCUCCUAAGUCGGGUGUGAAAGCCCCGGGCUCAACCCGGGAAGUGCACUCGAAACUGGGAGGCUAGAGUAUCGGAGAGGUUGGUGGAAUUCUCGGUGUAGAGGUGAAAUUCGUAGAUAUCGAGAGGAACACCAGUGGCGAAGGCGGCUCUCUGGGCAAUGACUGACGCUGAGACGCGAAAGCGUGGGUAGCAAACAGG
rnacentral:rRNA from 1 species